CGGAGGAAAAGAAAAUAACAAUGAUUUCCCUAGUAACGGCGAGUGAACAGGAAAGAGCUCAAAGUUGGAACCUGUUUGGUUUAGCCAAACCGGAUUGUAAACUGUAGAAGUGUUUUCCUGGCACGCCUGACGAAAAAGUCCAUUGGAACAUGGUGACAUAGAGGGUGAGAGCCCCGUAUUUUGUCAGAGCUGUUGUCUCUUGUGAUACACUUUCAAAGAGUCAGGUUGUUUGGGAAUGCAGCCUAAAUUGGGUGGUAAAUCUCACCUAAAGCUAAAUAUUGGCAAAAGACCGAUAGCGAACAAGUACCGUGAGGGAAAGAUGAAAAGAACUUUGAAAAGAGAGUUAAACAGUAUGUGAAAUUGUUAAAAGGGAACCGUUUGGAGCCAGACUGGCUUGAUUGUAAUCAAUCUAGAUUUCGAUCUGGAUGCACUUGCAGUCUAUGCCUGCCAACGACAAUUCAUUCUGGAGGAAAAAACUAAGUGGAAUGUGGCCCCUCGGGGUGUUAUAGACUCUUAGAAAAUACUCUGGUUUGGAUUGAGGAACGCAGUGAAUGCUAUUUGGCGAAGAUGCUGGGUGCUUUUAUUUUUGUUGUCUAGAAUUUCUGCUUCGGGUGGUGCUAGAUACCACGAGUAAAACUCGCCUAGUAUAC
rnacentral:rRNA from 1 species